rnacentral:rRNA from 1 species
AAAUGAAUAGACGGGGACCCGCACAAGCAGUGGAGUAUGUGGUUUAAUUCGAAGCAACGCGAAGAACCUUACCAAGGCUUGACAUCCCUCUGACAGGCGUAGAGAUACGCCCUCCUUCGGGCAGAGGUGACAGGUGGUGCAUGGUUGUCGUCAGCUCGUGUCGUGAGAUGUUGGGUUAAGUCCCGCAACGAGCGCAACCCUUAUUGUUAGUUGCUACCAUUAAGUUGAGCACUCUAACGAGACUGCCGGUGACAAAUCGGAGGAAGGUGGGGACGACGUCAAAUCAUCAUGCCCCUUAUGUCUUGGGCUACACACGUACUACAAUGGCCGUGACAACGGGCAGCGAAACCGCGAGGUGGAGCAAAUCCCCAAACACGGCCUCAGUUCAGAUUGCAGGCUGAAACUCGCCUGCAUGAAGUAGGAAUUGCUAGUAAUCGCGAAUCAGCAUGUCGCGGUGAAUACGUUCCCGGGUCUUGUACACACCGCCCGU